rnacentral:rRNA from 1 species
AACGUACGCUGGCGGCACGCCUAACACAUGCAAGUCGAACGAAGUAGCAAUACUUAGUGGCAGACGGGUGAGUAACAUGUAGGUAUCUGCCCUUUGGCCUGGAAUAACACGAGGAAACUUGUGCUAAUACCGGAUAAGUCUUUACGGAGAAAGCUUUAUGCACCAUUGGAUGAGCCUGCACUUGAUUAGUUUGUUGGUGGGGUAAUGGCCUACCAAGACUGUGAUCAAUAGCUGAUUUGAGAGGAUGAUCAGCCACAUUGGGACUGAGACACGGCCCAAACUCCUACGGGAGGCAGCAGUGGGGAAUCUUGCACAAUGGAGGAAACUCUGAUGCAGCGAUGCCGCGUGAGUGAAGAAGGCCCUUGGGUUGUAAAGCUCCUUCGUCGGGGAAGAAAAUGACUGUACCCGAAUAAGAAGGUCCGGCUAACUUCGUGCCAGCAGCCGCGGUAAUACGAAGGGACCUAGCGUAGUUCGGAAUUACUGGGCUUAAAGAGUUCGUAGGUGGUUGAAAAAGUUAGUGGUGAAAUCCCAGAGCUUAACUCUGGAACUGCCAUUAAAACUUUUCAGCUAGAGUAUGAUAGAGGAAAGCAGAAUUUCUAGUGUAGAGGUGAAAUUCGUAGAUAUUAGAAAGAAUACCAAUUGCGAAGGCAGCUUUCUGGAUCAUUACUGACACUGAGGAACGAAAGCAUGGGUAGCGAAGAGGAUUAGAUACCCUCGUAGUCCAUGCCGUAAACGAUGUGUGUUAGACGUUGGAAAUUUAUUUUCAGUGUCGCAGGGAAACCGAUAAACACACCGCCUGGGGAGUACGACCGCAAGGUUAAAACUCAAAUGAAUUGACGGGGACCCGCACAAGUAGUGGAGCAUGUGGUUUAAUUCGAAGAUACGCGCAGAACCUUACCAACACUUGACAUGUUCGUCGCGACUCUAAGAGAUUAGAGUCUUCGGUUCGGCCGGACGAAACACAGGUGCUGCAUGGCUGUCGUCAGCUCGUGUCGUGAGAUGUUGGGUUAAGUCCCGCAACGAGCGCAACCCUCACUUUUAGUUGCCAUCAUUAAGUUGGGCACUCUGAAAGAACUGCCAGUGAUAAGCUGGAGGAAGGUGGGGAUGACGUCAAGUCCUCAUGGCCCUUACGUGUUGGGCUACACACGUGCUACAAUGGUAUCUACAACAGGAAGCAAGACUGCGAAGUUAAGCAAAUCCCUAAAAGAUACCUCAGUUCGGAUUGCACUCUGCAACUCGAGUGCAUGAAGCUGGAAUUACUAGUAAUCGUGGAUCAGCGUGCCACGGUGAAUGCGUUCCCGGGUCU